CACGUCCAAACCCAUUUCUAUUAAAGUGAAAUAUGCUCCAAAAAUUCCCUCUGUGUCAGUGCAUCCCUCUGGUGAAAUCAAGGAGGGCAGUUCAGUGACUCUGACCUGUCAAAGCAAUGCUUAUCCAGCAGCUAAAUACACCUGGUACAAGAAGAAUGGAAAUCCAGAACUUCAACCUCUCAGUGAAAAUACACCGCUUGUCUUCCGCUCCAUCCAGUCCUCUGACUCUGGAGAGUAUUACUGUACAGCUGAGAAUGAGCUGGGGAGGAGGACAUCUAGAUCCAUCUCUAUUGAUGUGAAAUACUCUGUCAGGGACACUUCAGUGAUCAUCAUUCCCACUGAUCCAGUUUCAGUUGGCAGCGUGGUGAACCUGACUUGCUCCUGCAGAGGAAAUCCUCCUGUUGUCAACUUUGUCUGGUAUAUAAUCCGUGAUGACAGACUGGAACUGAUCAAAGCCGAUACACAGGUUUAGCGCUUUAAUGUGACCAACGGUGAUCGAGGCAGAUUGUAUUUUUGUGGAUGCAGAAAUGGUCUGGACAUUCAACUAUCAACAGGAUGUCAGUUGAUAUUUGAAGGUGAACAGGUUGAUGUUGAAGUUAUAUUGAAGAUCCUGGCAGUCAUAAUGCUUGUCAGUACAUUGGUCAUCUUUGAGUGCUGGUUUAGAUCAAGACGCUCCACAGAACCAGUGAAGGACACAGGAGAAGCUGUUUAUGUCAACAGUGCAGUUGAGUUACAUCCAUCAUGAGCUAGAAGGAGAUGAAGAGGAUGUUAUGUUCAACAUACUGUAAUGUCGAUGCUGCAUUUAUUAGUCUUAGUGUGCCACUUGCAAUAAAGUGUAGAUUUUCUCUAAAUACU